UACGAAGGGGGCUAGCGUUGUUCGGAUUAACUGGGCGUAAAGGGUGCGUAGACGGUAGCGUAAGUCAGAUGUGAAAGCCCCGGGCUCAACCUGGGAAUUGCAUUUGAGACUGCUCUGCUCGGGUGCGGAAGAGGGAAGCGGAAUUUCCGGUGUAGCGGUGAAAUGCGUAGAUAUCGGAAGGAACACCAGUGGCGAAAGCGGCUUCCUGGUCCGACACCGACGUUCAGGCACGAAAGCGUGGGGAGCAAACAGG
rnacentral:rRNA from 1 species